rnacentral:rRNA from 1 species
UGAGGAAUAUUGGUCAAUGGGCGCGAGCCUGAACCAGCCAAGUAGCGUGAAGGAUGACUGCCCUACGGGUUGUAAACUUCUUUUAUAAAGGAAUAAAGUGAGGCACGUGUGCCUUUUUGUAUGUACUUUAUGAAUAAGGAUCGGCUAACUCCGUGCCAGCAGCCGCGGUAAUACGGAGGAUCCGAGCGUUAUCCGGAUUUAUUGGGUUUAAAGGGAGCGUAGAUGGGUUGUUAAGUCAGUUGUGAAAGUUUGCGGCUCAACCGUAAAAUUGCAAUUGAUACUGGCAGUCUUGAGUACAGUUGAGGUAGGCGGAAUUCGUGGUGUAGCGGUGAAAUGCUUAGAUAUCACGAAGAACUCCGAUUGCGAAGGCAGCCUGCUAAGCUGCAACUGACAUUGAGGCUCGAAAGUGUGGGUAUCAAACAGG